rnacentral:tRNA from 1 species
AUGGCUGAGUGGUAAAGCGCUUGGCUUCCGAACCGAGGGAUCCCGGGUUCGAAUCCUGGU